rnacentral:rRNA from 1 species
AUUGAACGCUGGCGGCAUGCCUUACACAUGCAAGUCGAACGGUAACAGGUCUUCGGAUGCUGACGAGCGGCGAACGGGUGAGUAAUACAUCGGAACGUGCCCGAUCGUGGGGGAUAACGAGGCGAAAGCUUUGCUAAUACCGCAUACGAUCUACGGAUGAAAGCGGGGGAUCUUCGGACCUCGCGCGGACGGAGCGGCCGAUGGCAGAUUAGGUAGUUGGUGGGAUAAAAGCUUACCAAGCCGACGAUCUGUAGCUGGUCUGAGAGGAUGAUCAGCCACACUGGGACUGAGACACGGCCCAGACUCCUACGGGAGGCAGCAGUGGGGAAUUUUGGACAAUGGGCGAAAGCCUGAUCCAGCCAUGCCGCGUGCAGGAUGAAGGCCUUUGGGUUGUAAACUGCUUUUGUACGGAACGAAAAGCCUCUUUCUAAUAAAGAGGGGUCAUGACGGUACCGUAAGAAUAAGCACCGGCUAACUACGUG